rnacentral:lncRNA from 10 species
CACACUACACUCUCUUUCUUUUGAAAUUUAUAAUCUGUUAUCAAGGAGGGAGAACUUAUAUAAAGUUCAGAGAAGGUAUAUACACUUAUACACACACAUACACACAUAUAUACAAAGUUCAAAGAAGGUGGAGAUGAGUACAAUAUAGACAAAUGUAAUUGAAGAAGUUUUUGAUUCUUAUGAGUAUUAUACAUAUUUUAGGGGAUCUGUGUUCUUUUCAAUGUCUAUGAAUUUGACCAUCUUUUCUUCUCACAUUCUUCCCCAUCCGUUCACCAGUGACUUCACUCUUCUGUGAAAGAUGAGAUAGAAACAGCUACUUUUCUCUAACAGCAUAAUUUAUCUAAUUGGUGUGAUAGCAAAAGAAUGAAAACUAUUGGCUUGCAAUAGGCAGAUUAAGAUGUGAAACGCUUGUGUCACUGGUUGCCCAAUGACUUUGCCCUUCACUGGGUGAAAAGUGAGGAGUAAGAGGAGGAAGAAUGAGAGGCACAUUUUUCUUCUUGGGUCCAAGGAAAUGCUCUAAUCCAGUUUUAAUGAAAUUUCUGUCUUAUCACUCUCUGACUUUUGAGUUCAUUUAUCA